AGCAGUAGCCACGGUAAUACGUAGGUGGCAAGCGUUGUCCGGAAUUAUUGGGCGUAAAGCGCGCGCAGGUGGUUUAAUAAGUCUGAUGUGAAAGCCCACGGCUCAACCGUGGAGGGUCAUUGGAAACUGUUAAACUUGAGUGCAGGAGAGAAAAGUGGAAUUCCUAGUGUAGCGGUGAAAUGCGUAGAGAUUAGGAGGAACACCAGUGGCGAAGGCGGCUUUUUGGCCUGUAACUGACACUGAGGCGCGAAAGCGUGGGGAGCAAACAGGAUUAGAUACCCGCGUAGUCCCUGUCUCUUAUAA
rnacentral:rRNA from 1 species